rnacentral:rRNA from 1 species
CACGCAGGCGGUCUGUCAAGUCGGAUGUGAAAUCCCCGGGCUCAACCUGGGAACUGCAUUCGAAACUGGCAGGCUUGAGUCUUGUAGAGGGGGGUAGAAUUCCAGGUGUAGCGGUGAAAUGCGUAGAGAUCUGGAGGAAUACCGGUGGCGAAGGCGGCCCCCUGGACAAAGACUGACGCUCAGGUGCGAAAGCGUGGGGAGCAAACAGGAUUAGAUACCCUGGUAGUCCACGCCGUAAACGAUGUCUACUUGGAGGUUGUGCCCUUGAGGCGUGGCUUCCGGAGCUAACGCGUUAAGUAGACCGCCUGGGGAGUACGGCCGCAAGGUUAAAACUCAAAUGAAUUGACGGGGGCCCGCACAAGCGGUGGAGCAUGUGGUUUAAUUCGAUGCAACGCGAAGAACCUUACCUGGUCUUGACAUCCACGGAAGAAUUCAGAGAUGGAUUUGUGCCUUCGGGAACCGUGAGACAGGUGCUGCAUGGCUGUCGUCAGCUCGUGUUGUGAAAUGUUGGGUUAAGUCCCGCAACGAGCGCAACCCUUAUCCUUUGUUGCCAGCGGUCCGGCCGGGAACUCAAAGGAGACUGCCAGUGAUAAACUGGAGGAAGGUGGGGAUGACGUCAAGUCAUCAUGGCCCUUACGACCAGGGCUACACACGUGCUACAAUGGCGCAUACAAAGAGAAGCGACCUCGCGAGAGCAAGCGGACCUCAUAAAGUGCGUCGUAGUCCGGAUUGGAGUCUGCAACUCGACUCCAUGAAGUCGGAAUCGCUAGUAAUCGUGGAUCAGAAUGCCACGGUGAAUACGUUCCCGGGCCUUGUACACACCGCCCGUCACACCAUGGGAGUGGGUUGCAAAAGAAGUAGGUAGCUUAACCUUCGGGAGGGCGCUUACCACUUUGUGAUUCAUGACUGGGGUGAAGUCGUAACAAGGUAACCGUAGGGGAACCUGCGGUUGGAUCACCUCCUUA